GAGUUUGAUCCUGGCUCAGAUUGAACGCUGGCGGCAUGCUUUACACAUGCAAGUCGAACGGUAACAGGGAGCUUGCUCCGCUGACGAGUGGCGAACGGGUGAGUAAUGCAUCGGAACGUGCCUAUUUGUGGGGGAUAACGUAGCGAAAGUUACGCUAAUACCGCAUACGCCCUGAGGGGGAAAGCGGGGGAUUCGUAAGAACCUCGCGCAAUUAGAGCGGCCGAUGUCGGAUUAGCUAGUUGGUGGGGUAAAGGCUCACCAAGGCGACGAUCCGUAGCGGGUCUGAGAGGAUGAUCCGCCACACUGGGACUGAGACACGGCCCAGACUCCUACGGGAGGCAGCAGUGGGGAAUUUUGGACAAUGGGCGAAAGCCUGAUCCAGCCAUGCCGCGUGAGUGAAGAAGGCCUU
rnacentral:rRNA from 1 species